rnacentral:rRNA from 1 species
AACGUAGGAGACAAACGUUAUCCGGAGUUACUGGGCGUAAAGGGCGUGUAGGCGGUUAGUUAAGUCUGGCGUGAAAGCUCUCGGCUAAACCGGGAGAGGUCGUUGGAUACUGGCUGACUAGAGGACGGUAGAGGCGUGUGGAAUUCCGGGUGUAGUGGUGAAAUGCGUAGAGAUCCGGAGGAACACCAGUGGCGGAGGCGACACGCUGGGCCGUACCUGACGCUAAAGCGCGACAGCAUGGGGAGCAAACGGG